GCUAAGUUGGAUCAUGAGGACGAGCAGCCCAUAAGGAACUAAGUGCACGAAGGCGUUGGAAAUAGUCACCCAAGGCAAGCAAGCCUCGUGCUGCUUGGUGGGUUGUGAGGAUGCUGUACAUCUGCCUCAAGGCCUGUUGCCGAAGGAGGUCUGCCUGUUUCAAUAUAUAGCAAGAAUGAUUUCAUGUUCAGGUUGAAUACCCAGAAGCAAAUUUCAAAACAAUAUAGAGUUAGUUGUCAUAUAUUCACUUAUGAUUGCUGGUGUAAAAGGAUGAACAUUUUAACAAAAGCACAUAAUACAAUAAGAAUAAUAACAAGAGACCAACUUUUAAACAUUAGAAGUAUUACUUUGUGUGGCAAGUGCAUGUUCAUCACUAUUGAUGCUAUUAAACCAUCCUGCAGAGAGGAAGAGGGUGAAAGGUAAGAGGAAAAGUUUGUGACAUGAACAUCAGGUCAUGCAAACUCAGUUGGAAAACUCAUCCUAAUACUAAAGGCAAAGGCAAUGCAGAUUCAGAACCACAGAAUAGGAUCAGAUGCUAUCUAGAUGAAAAUAAAUGGAUGAAUAGUUAAGAAGAUUAUGAACCUUAAAAAUUUAUAGAGGAUUAAGAAGAUAUCUAUCAGAAACUAGGAAGAAAACAGAAAAGGCAAGCAGUGGACAGUGCUGCAAUUUAAAGAGGCCCUUUGUGUUAUCAAACACAUAAUCCUUUUUGUACAUCUUAUAUUCUGAAAACAUAUGACAUUUAGAAAUUAAGAUUUUGAAAAUGCUAUUUGAUUAUGACAAUACCUAUUGGUUUGUCAUUCUCCAAUUAAUCAUUAGGCAUAUUGUUUUGCGAUCUCAAAGAAACAAGAGGAAAAGAUAACAUACGGCAGAAACUAUGACAUACAUGUGCUCAUAUUCAUACCUACCCAGUAAUUGUUCUAUUCAGCCAAUAAAAUCUGGUUUUAUUCACAUAUUCAUAAGUCCUACACUGAUGCAAAUUAUGGAAGUAAGGUUUAAGGGAACACAAACUACCAAAAAUAAUGACAUCAGCAAAACAAGAGACAAUGGUAUCCAUUACAGAUUAAUUUUAAAUUUUUAUAUUACCUGGUUCACAAAGCUUACAAGAGCCUCCAACUUUCCCAUGGCAUUUGCCAUCUGUUCCAUGUAAUUUGUGACACCAGGUGUGCCUGAAGGGUCACAUGUUAGUGUUUCAGAAAGAGUUUCCUGAAGUCUCUCCAAUCCUUGCGAAAGAGCAUCUUCAGCUUGUUGUGAAGAUUGCCGCAGGCCUGACACAGCGCUCUUUUGUUGCUCUGUCAUAGGGUCUAGUUG
rnacentral:lncRNA from 1 species